GAUGAACGCUGGCGGCGUGCCUAAUACAUGCAAGUCGAGCGAACAGAUGAGAAGCUUGCUUCUCUGAUGUUAGCGGCGGACGGGUGAGUAACACGUGGGUAACCUACCUAUAAGACUGGGAUAACUCCGGGAAACCGGGGCUAAUACCGGAUAAUAUUUUGAACCGCAUGGUUCAAUAGUGAAGGACGGUUUCGGCUGUCACUUAUAGAUGGACCCGCGCCGUAUUAGCUAGUUGGUAAGGUAACGGCUUACCAAGGCGACGAUACGUAGCCGACCUGAGAGGGGGAUCGGCCACACUGGAACUGAGACACGGUCCAGACUCCUACGGGAGGCAGCAGUAGGGAAUCUUCCGCAAUGGGCGAAAGCCUGACGGAGCAACGCCGCGUGAGUGAUGAAGGUCUUCGGAUCGUAAAACUCUGUUGUUAGGGAAGAACAAAUUUGUUAGUAACUGAACUAGUCUUGACGGUACCUAACCAGAAAGCCACGGCUAACUACGUGCCAGCCGCCGCGGUAA
rnacentral:rRNA from 1 species